AUAGAUGCGAUAAGGGAGGAGCUGCGCCGCGGAGCGUUUCUAGGGUGAAAAGGCUGCCGUGAGGCCCGGGCGGAGGCGAGAGAGGAUUCGCCGCCGCCGCCGCCGCCGCCGCCCGCCCAUUCCUCCAGCAACAGGUUCCCCCGGGAGCGGGAGGGGCGGGAGCGAAGCGCAGCUCGCAGAGCGGAACGUCCCCGAAGUCCCCGAGCCGUCGAUCCCGCCCGAGGCAGACGGCGCUUCCCCCGAACCUCCCCCGGAGUCCCCGCCGGACCCCACCUCCGGGACUCGCUCGCCCCGCCGUGGCCUGGAGCGCACCCCAUCCUAAACGGAAGGCACUCGGCCGCUACUGUAAUGCACCCCCAACCUGUAAAAUCUUGAAGAUGUUAAAAGGACUCAUGGAUAAAUAACAUUUACGUCACAUUUAUCCUCAUCUAGAAGCUUCUGGAAGAAAAAGAAAUAAGUCUAGAAAAGAAGUAUAAUGGACUGUCUUGAAAACAAGGUAUGAGAGGUUUCUAAUAAUAAUAGUAAGUAAUUUAAAACACAUUUAUUGGAUGUCUUUUCUGAGCCAGGCUGAGGACUAGGGAGACAACUGUGAGCAAAACAUGCACAGUUUCUGCCCUUUUAAACUUUAAAGGCUUUAAAGGAGAUAGACAAGUAAGCAGUAAUCAUUAAGUGUGAUAGGUGCUUGGAUAGGGGAAUUUCAGGAAGUAAGGGGCAAAUGUCCUGCUCUCUAUGGGCAUAAAUUAUCAAAUCUAGGAAAUCUGGAAAGUUUUCCAGAAGAAAUUAUACUUAAACAAUAAUACAGAAAGUAGGAAAGCCAGGAAAAGGAACAUGAGAUGAGGGGAGAGCAUUCCAAAGAAUAGGAACAGUAUGUGCAAAGGCCCUGGAGUGGGUGAGAGGGGAGCAAUUUAGAGAAAUUAAAAGUCAGUGGAGUGUGGCUGAUGUGAGAAUUCUAGAGAAGUAGCAAUGAGAAAGGCAUCUAGAAAGGUAGACAGACACCAGAUUUGAGAGAGCCACUUAAACUGUGAUAAGGAGUUUGAACUUUAAUCUGAGGGAAUGGGAAACCACUGAAACAUUUAUACAGAGAAGAGAGGUGAUGGAUGUUAUUUAAAUUUUUAAAAGAUCUGCCUAACUGCAUUGUAGAGGAUGGUGUAGAAGAGAGAAAGAGUAAUGAUGGAGAAUCCAUUUAGGAGACAAGACCAGUCAGUCUUCCUAGGUAACCACUUUGAAAUGAAAGAGUUUAGUUUUAUUUUCUUAUCCAAUCUACAAUAUUUGUCAUUUUGUUCUAGGUUUCCAGUAGUUUUACUAUGAUAUGUCUAGGGGUGAUUUUCUUUGUACUUGAUUUCCAUGGAGUUUGCAGAGAUUCUUGAAUAUGUGGCUUGAGAACGUUCAUAGCUUGACGAACUUUGGCCAUUAUUACUUUGUAUACUACUUCUAUUUCAUUUUCUCUCUGGGACUUCAAUUAAAUGAAUGUGAGGCUCUUUUCACUAAAUCACAUCUAUUUCCAAUGCUUGUUUUGUGUUUUUUAUUCUUUACCUCUGUGCUUCAGUCUGGAUUGUUUUUUCUGUCCUUUUUUCUAGUUCACAAAUUCUCUAGUUCACAAAGUUCUCUUCAGGUAUAUCUUACCUGCUAAAUCUAUCUAUUGAAUUCUUAAUUUCAGUUAUUGUAUACUUAAGUUCUGUAAUUUCACUUUAAUUCUUAUGGUUUCCAUAUCUGUACUGAAAUUCUUUUAUCUUGUCAUUUAAUUUAUUGAGCAUAUUAAUUAUAACUAUUUUAUAGUCUAUAUCUGAUAACUUCCAUAUCUGGAGCUCCUGUGGGUUUGUUUCUAUCGUCUGAUUUUUCUCUUCAUUACUAAUUGAUUCUUAUAUUUUUAUAAGCAUAAUUUAAAAAAUUUUCUGGGCAUUGAAUUUUGUAGAUUAUAUUAUUGCUUAAAAACAAUAUAGAUGACCUGAGGUUCUAGGUGAUGUUAUCUUCUUUAUGAGUGGAUUUAUUUUACCUUCUGGCAGGUAAUUGGGAGUUGGGAUGAUGAACAAAGGAGUCUAAUAAAGGAUUAAGUCUUUUUUGGAAGCCAGACCUCAGUCUUUGCAGGGGCUGGUCUACUUUUGGUCCACCCUGCUCCUAGCAUUUAGGGUUCCCAACUGUUUUAGUUAUGUAUUAUGUCUCAAACCACUCUGAUACUUGUGGCUGUAAACAACAAUGGUAAACUAUUUCUCAUAAUUCUCUGAGUUGACUGGACAGCUCUUCUGCUCCAUUUGAUAUUGGCUGGGAUUACUCAUAAAGCUCCAUUCACCUGAGAGCUUUGCUGGUGCAUUUUGGUGCUCUUCCACAUGGCCCCUCUCUUCAUAUAAUAUCCCAUCCUCUAGUGCUUCUCCACGCGGCCUAUUUCUCUUUUGAACUUCAUUAAGCAUGGAGGCUGGUUUCUAAGAGGGAGAAUUCCAAAGUGCAAACCCUGGUGAGCAAGUGCUUAUCAAAUCUCUGUUUGUGACACUUUUACUAAUGUAACAUUGAUAACAACAAAUCACAUGGCCAAGCCCAGAGCCAAUGUGAAGAGAACCACCCAAAGGCACAAAUAUGGAAAGGUGUGUUUCAUUGGUGGGCCAGUGUAACACAUUACCAUACCAAAUAAAAGCCUGAGGUGUUUCUCAGGGCACUUCCUCAUUAGUGGCCCUUGAUCUCCAAUUUUUGUCAUCUUGGUCCUGUAAGACUGCCCAAAGCUCUCCUCAGCUUCUUGGCUCGUUGGUUGCCAAUUAAGAACUGGCAAAGGCAUCAAUGGGAAAAGCAGUGCCAAUGGUGGGCUCACCUCUCUGUACUUCCUUUCUCUUUGGGAUUUGGCCCUUCAAGUUCUCACUUGGAAAUUUUCUGUUGCCUUCACAUAGAUAUUUCUUCUAUUCUUUCCAGCUUUUCUAGUUGUUCUCAGUAAGAGGGUUGGUUUUAAACAAGAAGAUCUGUCAUUGCUGGAAGCAGGAAUCCCAUAGAAUGUAAGAAGACGGACAAAAGUACUUCGAGGUAGGGAGUAAAAGAAGUAGAUCCUGACAGAGGGAGAUUUUCCAAGACUAGGAAGAGGUUAGUAUUUUGUGGAUUCCAUGGCGGGGAAGAGCCCUAUGGCCUCACAGUGCCCCAAGAAGU